rnacentral:lncRNA from 1 species
AAAAGAAAAAAUUAUAAAAAGAAAACAAAAAGUAAUAGAGACUAGCUGGAGUGCGAUUUGGGUGGGCGAUUCAAGAGGCUGAGUUUGAAUUGUACUUGCCUCUGCCACUUUUAGAUUCUUCUUUUGCGUAAUCACAAUAUGACCUUAUUGAGUAACUGAGCACGAUGGCAAGAAUCUUCUUUCUAGAUACAAGAUGCAAUUCGGCGUCGGCGAUUGGAGAGGGUAAGAGUUUUGAAUGCUAUUCGGACCGCUUUUGAUAAUUUAGAAAACCAGCUUGAGGUUUUGCAUGUAAGACUUUUUUUAGCUUUUCUUUUUGGUUUUUGUAAGUUUUAGAUCAUGUGCGUCUCUUUUGGUUGUGAUUUGUUUUGUUCCGAGAAAAUUGAGGGUGAAAGAUGAAAACUUUCAGUUUUAGCACAAGUAACCUGGCUAAUUGUAUUGGUUAUCGAAGUACCAGAUUGGUCAUCGAAUUAUUGCGAGCGAGUUUUUGCAUGUAGAUGAUUUAAUCAAAUUGUUAUCUGAUAAACAGAUGAUUGCUCACAGCAGGUUCCCUCUCCUUUAAAUUAGUUUAGGCAAAGUAAGUCAUCAUCAUUUGGAAGUUUGCAAUAGACUGUAAAAUGAGCCAGUCUUUGUUUAAUGAAAUAUUUAAUAUCAUAAAAUUUGCUUAGAUGAAAAAAUUAGAGGGGAUAUUAUUGAUUUGCUAAAUUAAUUUAAUGACAUAAUUUCGGUAAAAUUCAAAGUUCAAACUCAGUCAUUUAUAAUUGUUUGUCUUGCUAUUCAUUUUCUUUAAUUCCUCUGUUCUUCAUUUGAGUUUCAUCCGCUACAGCACCUCAUUAGGUUGCUGAACAAGAUGAAUAUUUAGAUAACUAUGCAUGACAGGAUCAAAGAAUAACAAUUAAUAAAACUUCAUUUCUCAGCUAAAUGGCAACAAUAAGAUUGUUCAUUGGUUUAUCGAUUAACUACGAGGAAUCAACAUGAAAUAUUCGGCUUAUGUUCAAUUUUCCACUAAUGCCUAUGCAAACUAAAUUUAUGCAUGUAAUUAAAAAUUAUGACAGCACUAUAUCGAGAUUAAUCUAAUCAAGAAAUUAAUUACCUAUUAUUUUGUUUUUCUUUUUAAUUUUUCUAAGAAAUCUCAUUAUUCUAAACAAGUUUAAUUUGAAAUAGUAGGACAAAGAAGUGCCUCACGAGAAUUAAGAGCAUCGAUGUUCAAGUUGUCGUGAACGGGGGUCAGUUAAUUUCAUCAAAAUGACGAAGACGUCGAUUGUCACGAUCACUACUAUCAGGUAACCCUAACUUCAGGUUCAGAUCAAUUUUGUUAUCAGCAUCUUGGAGAUCAUAGCCGUUCAUGUUUGUUGCUGCUGCUUGAUUGAACCACCGAGAAUCCAUGGUAGGCGAAAUGAUCAAUUUCUAUGUCUACCGUCAACCAAAAACAACUUGGAAAAUCAGUUUAAAUAUUGAGAGAAGAAGAUCGAUAGGUUAAUAGCUAGCAAACGGAAGAGAAUGAGAGAGAAAUGAAGUUAAUUAAUGAUUUGGUCAUGCAUGAAAUGUAGGAAACUGGUCAAGCACUCAAUAGAUAAAACAAAACGACCUAUAAGACUGAAAUAUAUAUUACAAAUGGACGCACUUGUUAUGUGAUAAGAUUACAAAAAUCAUCAUUAGAUGAGAAAAUUUAGACAGAUAUUAUAAUAAUAUUCUUAAUUCAUAUAUCAAUUAUCUAAGUUCAAUUUCCAUUGAGAUGUAUGAUCUAACUAUAGAUCUGAUUAAUUUGGACAUGAAUGACCAGCAAUCUAAUCAUAUAAACAUGAACAACGUAAACAUUAUUAAGCUUUUGUUCAUCAAAGAUCUAAAAGGAAAAUUUUACAUAAAUUAAAAAAAAAAACUUGGAAGGAUAUAUACAUGCUGGUUCGAAUAGGACAAGCUGAAAUUUUUCAAAAAACUUUAUUUAUUUAAACCCUUAACCUACUGGUCUUGAAUCCGAUAGGACCCAAUUCUUUUACAAAGGUUUAAUUGUGUUACGAAGUUCAUCCACAAAAAAAAAAAAAAAUCAUAAACCCUUGACCAAACUUGGACAUUCAAUGAACUGCGAAAAAAAAAAAUGAUCAACAACACUGAACACAGAGCAUCAUCUCCCAAUCGAUUCAAAUGGAUAGAAAACAAAUUAACGAGAAAGAAAGUAUCAAAUCCAAGGAUAAUUUUUCGUAUGUUCACAUAUUGUAUAAGAGCGUUUGAUAUUAAUGUCUUGUAAAUUUUAAAUUAUAGCUACUAUAGAAAAAGAGCAGUAUUUAUGAAAUAAACAUUAAUAGUAACUAAAUAUGGCUUUUAAUAAUAAUUUUGACAAAAAUUAAUAAAAACCUUACAGGUUUUUCAUCUUACAAGUGAUAAAUCAAAACAACUUAACUUUCAAGUUAUAGCAAUUAAUAUUUAUUAAAUAUUUUAGUGCUGCCCAACCUCGAUAAUAAAUAGGGCCUUAGUGAGUGAUCGUCCAAUAAUAUAAGAACAUUGAAGCUUAAUAUUUCAGGCGCAUUAGUUCUUAAGAAAUAUAUAAAAUCUAUAUAAGAUUUUUAAGAUUAAUGGAUCGAAAAUAUAUUUACUCCACGAUUUAAUGAUGAUCGCAAGUAUUGGUGUAAGAAAUACAUAUAUAGUCUAUCAUGGCUCCGAAUAAACUUCCUGAAUAAUUUUAUUUUGUGAUAAUUUGAUUUUUUAAAUUAUAAAACAGCUUUUUUUUUUUUUUGUUUAUUAAAAUUUUGAUGCAGCCCUCUCAUAAUGCUCGAGCUCACACAAGCUAGAAAAAUGAUUUCGCAUAAUGUAGUGUAUUUUUAAUUAUUUAAUUUUAAAGUUUUUUUCUUUUUUAAAAUUUUAAAAAGCUCAUUUAUUAAAUAUUACCGUCUAAAAAAUUAACCGCAACCGCGCAACCUUAUCAUGAUACUUCUUAUUAAUUACUUACUACAAAAGCAACGCAAGUAUGGCAACUGUAUUGUUAUGAUUAUUUCAUAACAAUAAUCUGAUAUGGCCUUAGCUCUUCACUUUAUCACCGUGCGCGCAAUUCAAUUAUUUUUCGCUCAAGCUCAAGUGAGGUUAAAAAAUGAUUUUGAAUAUCUUUUAACAUUUUACCACAACCUUAUCAUAAUAUUUUUGAAUUAACUAUAUACUUUAAAAAGGAGCAAAUAUAGGGUAACUGUGUUGUUAUAAUUACUUUUAGAAACAGUCACGCAGUCAAGCUCGAGUGAGCUUGAAAAUGAUUUGGAAUAAUUUUUGAAAUAGUUCAAAAGAGUAAUUUUAUUACCGUUAUUAUUUGAUUGUAGUUAAUUAUCAAAAGAGUGCUUUAAAUAACAUUCAAAAUAUAAUUUUUAUCUCAACCAUCUCAUAAUCCUUUCAUUGCCAUUUCUGUUUUAAACCACACGGACUAAAGCUCAAAUGAGUAUGAGCUUGAAAAAAAAGGUUUUCAGAAUAAUAAAAAAUAAAAGAAUUAGUUAUUACCACCAAUUUUUAGAUGUUAAAUUAAAAUAAACAUCAUGGUAAUUGGAAAAGCAGUUAUGAACUAAAUAAAAAUUUUGUAUCAAAUAUAGGCAAAUUUAUUUUACAUAAAAGUUAAAAGUAUGUGGUAAACAUACAUACAUUCAUAUAUAUAUAUAGAUAUAUAGACACACACACACACACACACAUAUAUAUAUUUGGGCCUCUAAAGGGUGAUUUCAAAAUUUUGAACCAAAUUUUUACGCUAAUGUAAGUAGUUAUGAAACUAGAUUAUACAAAAAAGAGAGUCAACUUCAAACCCCAAAAUAAUUUCUAAGGAAUUUUAGGUCUUUUUUCUUAAAAAAAAAAAAAAAACCUGAGAAAAUAUGAGAAACUUUUCGGAAUGAUAUGAAAGUAUUAGAGAAAGAGGGUUUUGGUGGAAGAAAACCAAACUGAUUUUUAAAGAAAACCUUAUUUUUUUUCGAAAUCAUUUUGUACCUAAAAUCGAAAGUUAUACACACUAUUUUGGGUCUCCAAAGGUGAAAUCAAAAUCCCAAGUUGAUUUUUUGCCUGAAUGUAAAUAUUUUUGAAAUUAGAGUAUAUGAAAGAAUGUGAGAGCCGCGAAAUAAUUUCUACCCAAUUUUAGAUUUUUUAUAUGAAAAAUUGAAGAAAUCCCAAAAAAUUGGCUAAACUUUCCUUCUAUUAUUUCUUCUUAUGUGGUAUGACCUCAUCUUUUUAAGGAGGUCUUUCUCAUAGGACAGAGAUAAGUUAUGCAAUUAUGACUUAUUCAAGAGUCCUUUUUUUUUUUUCGUAGAGAAUCCUUGUAUAUUCUAUGAGAAUAGUUGCUUGAGAUGCUGUGAAACUCAUUAGGAAGCACCUUUAUGGUCUAAAGAUGGUUUUGUUGGAAGAAAACUAAUUGGUUUACGAAGAAAAAUAACUUUUCUUCUCAUCCCCAGUUUGGGCCAAAAACCAAGGCAAUAGCAAAUGGUCUUGCGCCUCUAAAGGGUGAUUUUUGAACUCGGAGCGGAUUUUUUUAAUGCAUAUAAAUAUUGUUGAAACUAGGGCAUAGAAAAAAAAAAAAAAAAAAAAAAAAGGGAGUCGAUAUCAUGCCCCAAAAUAAUUUGCACGGAGUUUUCGGUCUUUUUUCAAAAAUUAAAGAAAAUCUCAAAAAAAAUUAGGAGAACUUGUCAUAAUUAUGUGAAAUUCUUUUAGGUCAUCUCUAAUGCAUAACACCAUUUUGGUGUAACACCAACACCAAAAAUAUACUUUUUUCACACCAAAUUACUAUUUCAUCUUCAACCCAUUUACACCAUCCACGCGCGACGCAGCAGAUCCAGCAACCCAGCAGCAGUCCAGCACCAAACAGGCGACGCAACAGCGACCCACACCCACCAGCACCACCAGCGCGAUGUAGCUACAGCCAAUCGAACGCACGCGAUGCGGCAGCAGCAAUCUCAGCUCCAACGCGACCCAAAACCAGCAGCACCAGCAACGCACGCGAACCAACUGCAAACCAUCACCAACUCCAUCCCAAGUAACCUUUGAUUUUUUUAAUUAUUUUAGAAAUUUUGAGAUUACUGAAGCCAUUGUUGAUGUUGUAAUGGAGAGUAGAUUUGUGGAAGAAUCGAGAGAGAGAGAGUAAAGAAGAAGAAGAAGGAUGUUUCAUUGUUGUCAUAGCAAGUGGAUAACGAAGAAGAAGCAUUGUAUUUCAGUUUCAACCACAAAUUCUUUUAAAAAUUAUUAAAGGGUAUUUAACAUUUACCUAGUUUAUCGUAUUUUAUCUCUUGUAAUUUGCAUAUUUUUAUUUGAUCGACACUUUCUCUAAUUUGUCAUCAAAAUUAAGCAAAAUUUUCACUUAUAUAUACAUUAUUAUUUUUCUAUGAGAUUUGGUGGAUAAUUGAUACGCUGUAGGAACAAUCAAUCAAAAAGAAAUAAAAAUAAAAUUUUAUUAAAUUAUUAAAAGUCCAAGCCCUGUCCAGGCUCAGCCUAGGCCCGCGCAAGCCUGGCCCCGGCCCAACCAUCUCAAGUUUGGACAGGCUUUAGAGGGCUUGGGCUUCUUGCCAAUUACACGAGCUUGGACUUGGGCUUGAAAAAGCUUGGUCUAAGCCCGCGAUUUGCCAACCCUACAUAAAAGUAUCUAACAAUGGUAGGAGAUUUUAGAAAGUGACUAAUAUUUUGGACCUAUCAUUUGGGGAGAAGUGUAUAACUCUUGAUCAAACUAGAAAUCUCAUAAUAGAAGAAAUCUUGUACCUCCGAAAAGAAAGGAGAAAUCGUUUUGAUUCGAGGUGAAUCCUGAUCAACUUUGCCUUUACAAGUUGAGUAAAUAUUAAAAAUUUUGAAAAAAGCUUUGUUGUUAUUUAAGAUUAUACCAGUAUAAUGAGCCCGUUCACGUUUUUGGGAGACCUUUUUUUAUGUAGUUGUUUGUAGUUUUCUUUUCUUCAUUAAAAUUGGGUUGGCGUGAUAGUGAACCUAUCAAUUGGUAGAGUACAAGACCGAAAAUCAUGCUCUUUGGAGCCCAGAGAUUCCCAUGCUUUCCGUUGGUUAGCAACCAACAAAAAUUUGAGCUUGACGAAGGUGCUAAUAGUUUUCGUAUGGUGGAGAAGUUCUUACAGGUGUGUGUAGUGAUGAAUGAUUACCAUAUGAGUUUUAAAGGUUUCGAGUGAAUAUAUAGAAGAUCACCUGUGAUUGUCCCAUGAUUGAAUGUCUACACAUGUUACCCAUAAAAUCGGUUGGUGAAUUCUUACUUGUGUGAUUAGGGGUUGCGAAGAUUGUGUGAAUAACAAUUCUGGAUGGGAAAAGAACAUUUUGAAAAAAGUGAAUGAAAGUUGACUAAUGUCGUUGGAUAUUUUAUGAAUAUAUAUCAAUGAGGGCAUCCCUUUGCAUUGAGUUAUUUGAACACACUUCAAUAGUUUUAUUCUAAACUUGACAGGGACUGUAAAUUGGACGAUUUUGGUGAGCCUAAUAAGUGCCUUAAUUGUUUGGAUUUAGCUUUUGGCAAGGGAGAGGGCUUUUGACUUUUUGUUUGUGUCCUUGUUGAAAUUAUUAAUAAUAUUAGCCUUACCCAAUUCAAACAAUGAGCCAACAAAUGUGGUUUAUAACAGGUAGUAGGGGUGGGCAUUUGGUUCGGUUCAGAGGGCAUUUGGUUCAGUUCAGUCUGAACCGAACCGUAUUAUGGCAAUUUGGUUUGGUUUAGUUUUUUAUUUGAACCGAACCACAUGGUUCAAGAAAAAAUUAAAAUUAAAAUUAAAAAGGUCAUAAUUUAUCUUUUUUUUUUAUUUCUAUUUGUUAGUUAAUACAUGCUAUUAUAUAUGUCAUAGCAUUUGUUAGUUAAUACAUGCUAUUAUAUAUGUCAUAGCAUACACUUUAUUUUAUUGUUGAACUUUAUUAUUUUAAUUUAUUAUUGUUAGAUUUUAUUAUAUUGUUUAUUAUUUAUGGAUUUCUAGAUUAUUUUUUUGGAAUUUAUUAUGUUAAUUUACUAUUGUUAGAUUUUAUUAUGUUGUUUAUUGUUUGUUAAUUUAUAGAUUCAAGAUUAUUUUUGUAUUAAUAGUGUAUUAUUAUAUUAUAUUUUUUAUUGAAUAAUGAAUAUAUAUGAUACAAUCAAACCAAACCGAACUGAACCGAACCAAAUUAAAUAGUGCCCACCCCCAACAGGUAGGAUACAAGCAUUGUCGCAAGCACAAGAAAUCAAUUUAUAACUUGAAAAAAUAAAUUGUCAUAAGCUUAUAAAACCGACAAAAUAGCUGAAAAGUAAAUAGUUCUAAUACAAAGCAUAAAAGCUAAUUUUGAUCCCAUCUCACAGAUGGGGCAUAACUUUGGUACAAAAUUGACUAACAUCAAUAAUUCCUCUAAGCAGUUUGGUUGUUGGAGUCCUGAUCACUAUUUGAUGUCUGUUUCUUUUGCUUUCCUUUUCUCCUCCUUCUUUCUGUACUUAAUCCCAUAGGCGUUGCAGAGAGUGUAAAACUAGAAAAAUUUAUAGGAUUAAAAGUACUAUUUCAAGCUUUAAUUUACAUAUGUGGGCAAGUGGUAUUAUAUGAGUUUAAGGACUAUUUGUUCAUGUUACAAGUUUAAAUUUAAUACGACUGUUCAUAAUUAAUCUUUCUUUAGAAAACAUAUAUGUGUGUGUAUACUCACACAUAAUGAACAAUUCUUGUACAUAUACUAUUACAAAUGAUGUGGCAAAUGACGUCACUUUAUUAAUGAGUGUAAAUAUUGGUGAUAAGGAAAAUAAUUACUAUAUUCUAAUUGGACUCCAUAAUAGUGUCACAUUUUAUUUGCCAUAUAGUUGGAAAACAUGAGAAAAUCUUAGAUGCUCCCUCUCUCUCUCUCUCUCUAUGUAUAUAUAUAGUAGUUCUCUAGUUUGGAAUCUUAAAGUGUGAGAAAAGUUCGAUAAAAUUUUAAAAACUAUGGAGUUUAAGAUGCUUAAAACUUAAAAGACUUAAACCACAUUGUCUAUGCGUUUUUCAGACUUUUUCACACUUUAAAAAUCUGGAUUCGAAAUUUCUCUCUCUCUCUCUCUCUCUCUCUCUCUCUCUCUAUAUAUAUAUAUAUAUAAAAUCUCUUAGAUUCUUUCCGCAAGUGUUGGUUCAGAAAUACACAUGGCAAGAAUCUAACGGAUAAAAGUAUGUGUGUAUAGACACUAGCGAAAGCAUCCAAAAUUUUUCCCCAAAAACAAAAUUUGUACCUUCUUUUAUGCAUGUGGAUGCAUCAAAGAAUUACUGUUUUCAAGUCUACAAAUAGUAAUAAUGACAAUAAUAUGCAACAAUUUACAUAUCUUCGGGCCAAGAUGACCUCUACGGCACAUAGGAGUAUCAUUAGUAUUGCAAUUAUAAUUACUGCAUCUUUUAUAAGGAUACCUAUGCGGCCUUGGAAUGCCUGCUGUCCUUCGAGGUGAAGCUGCCGUUGAUGAGUUAGGACUGCCCAUCUGCUGGUUUCUCGACGCUGGAACGUUGAUGAGUGUGUAACUUUUCAUCGAUGCUUGCGCUGAUGCUGCCGCAGUAGGCUGAAUAUUAUUACUAGGGUUAAUGCUUAAGUUGUUGUAGUGAAGAGGAGAGUUAGGAAGUUGUGAUCCCAUUACAGAAAGAGCCUGCAGGAAAUGUGCUAAAGCCAUAGCCAUUAUUUGGGUGCAUAUAUUGUGCUUGUCUAUGUUGGUUCCUCAAGUUUGAUUGUGGCCACACAAUUUAGUUGGGAUUAAACUUUUGUCCAAUGUUAGUGUUAUUGUUCAUUCCUUCAUUCACCAUUUCAUAGUUGGUUAUUCCCUGUAUAUAAACAAUCAAAAUGUUAGAGAAACUAUUGACUCAUUAAAUAAUAAUAUAUAUGAGAAAAAUUUUCAAUCUGAAAUUAAAGUUGGGAUUAAAGUUCAGGACAGAUUUACGACACCAUAAAUUCGUCGUAGAUCUUAAUUGUAAAUUUUAAUCUUAGAUCUAAUAAGCACUGUGUAUAUAUAUAUAUAUUGGUUUUUUGAUAUGGAAUUUUAAAGUGCCCGAAAACUUUAAAAUCAUAGGGGCUUAAAAUUUAAAGCGUUUAAGUUGCAUGGUUAUGUAUUUUGUCGGACUUUCUUACAUUUUAAAAUUUAGAAUUGGAACAUUUCCUACAUUUAUAAUUUUUAAGCUAUAAAUUACAAACAAUAUUAACCUGCUCUCGUUUAUAAUUUCUCUGUUAUAACUAGCUCGCAUUGUACCAAAAUUUUUGUUUCUCCGUGUUUAUGUUAUUAAUAGAACCAUUAUUAGCUAAUAGGUUCAAGUCUCCGUAAUUACAAAUUAUUCCCAAUAACUAUUAUUGGAUUCCAGUUGUUGUAAUUUAAAAUCAUGAUUUAAAACAAGGCAUAUAUAUAUAUGGAGCAGUCAAUCUAAUCUGUUAACACCAAUUAUGCAGCCAAAAAAUGAUAAUAAAAAAGGAGAAAAAUUCAAGAAAGAUGACAAUUCUAUACAUACCAUCAGUCCAUGUAUAUCCAAGAUUUUACAAGAAGAUUACCAAAAUAAUGGAUCUAAACAGAUUUGAUAAUUACUACUUCGUAAAAAUCAAAUAAAUAAAGAGAUCAUAAUUAGAUGGUGCAACCUAAGAGAUAUAAAUUAUCAAGUAUAUGAAGUGGAGCUUCUUUUCUGCAUAUUGAUUGAUCAAACAUUAAUUAAUCUUCAUUUCUUAACAAAAUUGCAAAAGAAAAAUAUUAUUUCUCUAUUAGUUUUUUGAUUGAUUUAAUCAAGAAAUCAUAAUUUUAAAAAAAUGAAGACUAAUAUUAAAUUGUAUAUCAUUCCUGAAGAUUAUGUUCAGAUUUUCAUUUUCAAAUUCAAUUUAAUAAUAGAUCACAUUAUUUAGGCACAUAAGUAAGGAAUGUCUAACACAAAGAAUUACCUCAUGAGAAUUAAGAUGCUGACUGUCAUUAUCACUAUUAGGUAACCCUAACUUCAAUGUCAGAUCAAUCGUCUUUCCAUCAUCAUUGUUCUGAUCGUAGCCAUUCAUUUUGGUUGCUGCUUCUUGAUUGAGCCACUGAGAAUCCAUGAUCAAUGAUCAAUUUCUUUGUUUUCCGAGAACAAAAACAACUUGUUACAGUCCCAAAAUGAACAAGCUAGAUAGAGAGAAAGAGAGAGAAAUGAAGUCAAUUAAUCUGUUCAUGCAUGAAACUGCAUAUAUGAAACUGAAGCUCUUAUUGACCAUUGAGAGAGAGAAGACUUGAUACAUAUGCCACCAAUAGAGAUAUACACACGAAAACACACUCUUUUAGUGAUUUAAAAAAAAAAAAGAAAUUAUGCACCAGACUAAAUCGAAACGAAUAAAAGUUAUAUCUAGUUGUGAUUAUUAGUUUAUUAAGUACUAAUUUAUAGAGGAUCUAUUAUAUUUACCAUUUUAUUUAAAAUUGUUUCUUUUAUUUUAAACUCAAAAACUACAAAAAUUAAAAGAGAUUACUGCAUUCGCCAAAGAACGGCUAUGAGCAUUUUUCUCGCUCUCUUAUACGUGACGCUAUCCUAAUUACACUCAUCUCAAAUCUAUUUUGUUAGUUACCUUUGAAAAAUAAUUUGAUUUUUUCAUAAAUAUAUAUUUUUUAAAAUGCAUUUAUAAAAAUUGAAGGAAAAUAUCACCACCCAUAAAUAAAUUGCAAGCAUUAAUUAAUUUAAAAAAUGGGUUUAAUUAGUUUUCUCUUUCAAACAUUAAUUUAUAUCUUUAGUCGUAGUUUUUCUUCUCUCUUCUCUACCUUAUCACCAUCCAUAAUCGGAAAGCUUCGAACUUAAAAAAAAAAAAAUGCAUUGUGCUAUGAAAAUGUUGAUUUGUCCAUGUAUAAUUGGAUUUGUAAAUUGGCUACUUCCGACAAAAAUCUAAGAAACCUGUAAUUUUUUAUCAAGCAAAUAAAUUAAUAGCAACAACAGCGGCUAAUCGAUGCGACAACAACAAUGGCUACUUCCGGCAACAGCAGCCUCUUUAAUUUGAGUUAGUUCGCUGAGUUUAUGUCCGAAUUCUUAAAUGGAUAAUGAAUUUAUUGUUUUAGUACUAAUUGUUGAUGAUUAUAGGUUAGAUCUUGUUGAGCGAUUAGUUUUUUAACAUUAGGCUUGAAUUGGGAAUGAAAAUUGAUAAAAUACUUAUGGAAAUAAGUUUGUUAAAUACGGCAAUACAAAUGUUUGCUAAAAUGCCUCAAAGAAUACAAUUUGUUGUUUAGCCUUAAUUUUGCUAUUAUUUUACUUGAAUGAAUAUCUAAGAAGGUUGCAACUAGUAUUGUCGCUUGAAUAUAGGCAAUGGUAUGGUGUUAUGGGUGAUUAUGAGUGAAAAGUUCUUGUCACGCUAACCUUGUAAGUGAAAACCUUGUUUUUCUCAAACAAAACCUAAAUUAAGAAGAUUCAAUACUUCAUCAUACCUUUCAGAAAACAGUAUCAAGACAAUAAUGUCGAGAACCAUCACCUAUAAACUUCAUCCGUCGGAAAGAUCGCAGAUGAUGUUACACGUACAAACUUUUUUGUUUUUUUAUUUUUUAUUUUUUAAUUUACAAGUGCUACGCUUUCAGCCGGUUAUCCGUUUUUCAAAUGUUAAAUCUUAGUUGUUAGAUACAUUUCUUCACAAUCUAACGACUCAUUCGCUAUGAGAUAAAGGACUGGGGUACCAAACUUAUGACGCAAGAUAGCUGGAUCCACAAAAAAAUUAUAGCAAUUGAAAGAAGAGCAUACGAGUCUUACAAUAUGAAAGAAUUCUCGCCUCAAUUCAAACAAUUAAAUUCAGGAGAAACCACAACCGAUUGUGAGCUCCCCAUUUAUCAUUUACUAAUUGCUAUUAUGAUUCUUUUUUGUCAAAUUCAUCUUCAUGUUUGACAACACCCAUAUCUUCCAUUUGCCAAGUUAGUUCAUCCUAUUUACCAUUGAUCGUGUAAAAUCUCAAGUAAUGUUACACCCGCAUAUUCUGUAAAUCGUUAUAAUGAUUUGAAUUAGUUAGUUUUUUAUUUUUUUAUAAACAUUAUUUUUGCCUUAUUUAAGUUAUUUGGUUAUUUUCAAAUCUUCAAAUUUGAAUUGAUUUGAAAAAGAUUAGAAACUAUCCCUUUUUUAUUUUCCUCAACUACUCAUGUUUUGGUAAAUCAAAACUCACUUUUUUUUUUAAACAAUAAUUAAUGAGGGUCACAUUAUUUGGGACUCAAAUGAUAAGGUCCCUAACAUUACACUUUUCCAAAAUUCAACACAUAUUACUCUCUUCUUUCUCAAUCAAAACUAAGAAAUUUAGUAUUUUCUUGCACUCGAUGGUGACGGCGGCAGAGGGGGAUGCACGAACAACUCUAUAGGUUGUGACAGACUGACAGUGGCAGUAGAGAUGGAGCAAUCGAACCGAGCAAAGCUGCGUGCCAAGGCUAGCGAGUCAGCAACCGAGACGAGAUGAUGCCGGCGGAGGGUGGUGGCUGCUGCUGGCUUCGAGUGUUGGAGGCGCGGCAGCCGCAGCGUUGUUGCUUAUGCUUUUCAAGGGAUUUGGCGAUUAGGGAUUUCAAGGCAGCCGGUGGCGGUGGCACCGUGGCAGCGCGGCUGCUUAUGCUUUUCAGAAGGGAAUGCAAUCUGCUACUUAUGCUUACUGUAUUAGGGAUUUGGAUUUGGGCGAUUUGGGCAAUUGGGUUUUGAUUUUUGUAUUUAAAUUUUUUUUUUUAAUAUACCGGGUCCGGAUUCUGGGUUUUUGGGGCUGAGACCGGAACCGGGACUGGAAAUGUCCGGGUUUGAGAAUUUCGCACCGUAUAUUUUUCUUAUAAAACUCCAUUUCGGAUAAAUUUACAUUUAAAGACAAAAUAACAAUAACACACAUUUAAUUUUUUUUGAACAAAUUACUUACAUUUAUUAUUAAAUUUUUUUUUUUACCUCUCACUUCAAUUUAUCAAACUAAAAUAAGUUGUAGAAAUUUCAAAUAAUAUAUAUAUUUUUUUAUUUUUAAUUAAUUAAAUAUUUUUAUACAUAAAUUUUUUAAAAUUAUAAUUUAAAAUAAGUGCACUUUAAGUUAAUGGUUGACAUUCAAAAAUUCAUCAUUUAUAAAAUUUCAAAAUUUAUGUGUAGGGUGAUGACAAGAUUAUUAAAGAAAAGAAAAAUAACAAAAUCGUACUUUGAAUUUUAAUAAUUAAAAAAAUAAAAACUAGAUGAAAUAUUUUAAAAUAAAAAAGAUAUUUUUUUAAAAUAAAAUAAAAAUAAUUGAAAAGGAGUUUUAUGAGGAGAAUCGAGGGUUGCCGAUAAUCAUCGCCCACAAGGAUUUCCUAUUGAGUAUAGGAAUCCCUUUGUCGCAAUGAAACUAGGAAUAUAUAAAUCAAGUGAGUUUGUGAGACCUUCUUCUCUUAAUUCUUUCAUAAGCAGUUCUCUAAUUUCUCUCUGCGAUUUUUAUUCAUUCAGUACCCUCAAUCGUUCAUCUGAUCUCACCCAAUUCUCUUUCUCAUCGAUCUCUUUUGAUUUUAAUAUUAAUCUAAGAAAUCAGAGCAUUAAGCAUCGAUCCCUUUUGAGUCUAAUUGUCAUGGGUUUAUCAAAAAACAUUGAUUUUGAAAUUACUCUAAGAAAUCAGAGCAUUAAGCGUCGAUCCCUUUUGCGUUCAAUGAUCAUGGGUUUGCCAAGAAACAGUUGGAGCAGGGAAUAUGCUGAAUCCAUGAAAUCCAAGUUGCCAUCGGAUAUAAAAAAGAAGAGAAAAUUUGAAGAAGAGGAGCAUGCGGCUUUUACUUGUUCCAAGAAACCUCCUGCUACAGUUUCUAAAAAUGAAGAGUUCAAGUGUUCUGAUGUCGAUGCUACACGUAACCAAUUUCGUGAGCGUCUUGUAGAGGGAUUGUCUAAAGUUUAUGAAGAGAAUAAUGAAGAGAUGAUGAAGGAGCAAUUAGGAGUUUGUGACCUAGUUGGAGUUGCUGCAUCAGUAGAAUCAGCGCUGUUCAAAACGUUGGGUCCUAUCAGUGGGUCAAACAGACCCCAGUAUAGAACCAUCUUGUUCAGUGUUAGGGAUUCAACAAAUCCUGACUUUAGAAGAAAGAUUCUUCUUGGAGAAGUGAAGCCUGAGAGCAUUCCUACCAUGACGGAUGAAGAGAUGUCUAGCCAUAAAGUACAAGAGGAGAUUCGCGAGAUUAGGGAGAGAGUUUUAGCCAAGAUUCCGGACUCAGUUGAUGAUGAUGAUGAUCCCUAUGAGAGAUUAAAAGCUGAUGAUCGUUGGCUCUUUUAUAGGUCUUAUAUAGGUUAAUUAAUAUGAUGCUUUUAAUUAAGCUACUACUUUGAGUUAUUGGGUUUUCAUUUUCAUUUUGUUCAAUUGUACUUUGACUUUGAGUUAUUUGGUUUUCAUAUUCAUUUUGUUCAAUUGGACUUUGAAAUGGUAUUUUAAUUCUCUGAUCACUUCCUUUAUCACAUGACAACAAAUAUGUUUAAUCCCUCUUCAUUCUUUCAUCAUAUACAUAGCAACGUCGCAACUUCCAUCUAUAUAUUUGACAUCAUUAAACGGGUAACAACGCAAUUGUGUAGGAACCUAUAUUUGUCUUUAUAUAAUUGAAACAGGCGCAAAAUUAUCAUUUAGGGAAAAAAGAAAAAAACAUAACAGACAAUAACUAUCAAAGUCAUUUCAGCAUUCACAGUUCACAUAGGAUUUUAUCCUUCGUUAUGGGAUGAUGUAGGCCUGUAUGUUGGACUUGAUCGAGAAUAUGAGGGAGAUGGUGGUGAAUACGAAGUUGAUGUCGGACUGCACACAAAGAAAAAGAUAAUUUCGGAUUACAUAACCAUAAUUCAUCGGACAAAAAAAAUUUAACCACCUGUCCAAUACCAACCUACAGGAACAAGAAAGCUAGCAUAGCCACAAAGAUAUUUCAUGUGAGUAGAAUUCUAUCAAAAGCAAGGCCUAAUAAACCAGAUAUGACCCUAAACACAAAUAUUAGACUUGACCUAUAGAUUUGCAUUAUGGCUUACCUGUACGUUGGACUUAUGGACUGGCAGGUGACAUUCUUGCACUACUUGGUGAGUAGGCCAGCGAUCGUCUGUAUGUGGCUGACUGAGGAUUAUAACUUUGGGAUGUAGGGCUGUAGGCUGGUGCAGUUCUUGGUGAAGUUCGGCUGUAACGAGGAGAAGUGGGGCUAUAGGCUGGCAAAGUGGUGGCUGAAUGAUGGCGAUAUAGGGUUGUAGGAUGGUGAGGUAAGCCCGUACAAAGGCGAUGUUGUGCUGUACAAAGGAGAGGUUGGACUUGUGCUGUACAAAGGAGAGGUUGGACUGUAAGAUGGUGUAGCAGGAUUGUAUAUGCAGGUGGGUGCUGUAACUUGGAGAGUUUGGGUUGUAGUUCGGGGAGGUAUGGCCGUAGCCUAGGGAAGAAGGCGAUUAAGAUGGACUUGUAGGAGAAUAGGCAGGACUGGUUGGACUAGAACGAAGAAUUGGUGAGUUAGAGCUAUAACCAGGGGAGGUGGGACUGUAUCCAGGUGACGUGGGAUUUUGUCCAGGAGAUGAUGGAUUGUAGCCUGGUGAUGAUGGGCUGUAUCCUCAAGGUGUAGUAGGAGAGAAGGCCAAUGCACCAACAUAAGGAGAAAAGGAAAACCGGGCAUCUGUGUUGGGGGAUUGACAGAGAUUUGGGCUUAAUAAGCAACUUGGAGACAUCAUGCCCUCAUGAUAAGGAGUACCAGAGAGUGGAGAUCGAGUGGGUGUCAUCCCUAAAUCCAGAACUUCCAUAUAACUUGGAAGCUGAAGUUCGAUGGUAUUCUUCGGCAUCUCAUCAUUGACAUACAAAGGACAGUAUCCAGUUCCAAUAGGUGCGAGCUGAACUAACACAAUAUUCUCAGUGACCCCUGCAAAUAAUCUGUUUCAGCAUAAGCUGCAGCAUCAAGAAGAAUGUCAACAGUUUCUUCAAAUGAACAUCUCAUCAAGGGUCCAGUAUCAAUCCUUCUGAUGCCAUGACGAGUGAUGGCCAUCAAGUGGCCUAGAUAGGUCAUGGUAUCACAAAGGAUAGCCAGAUGCCGAUAAUUCACAUAAGAGCCAUCAAAAGAUAUGACUGCUCGCAAUUCAUGCAGCAGCACCCUAUGAACUGCCUCAAUCUCCAGCACUUCAAUAAUUUCAACCAAGUGAUUGCUUGUUGUCCUUCUCGCAUCAACUUCUUCAUGACACAUAACAGCUAAAAGAUUCACACCUUCAGCGUCCAGCAUAAAUUCCUUUUCCGACUUAAAUCGUUCAUUAUCAUCGUACUUGGUUGAUUUAACCUUUUUAAUGAACACCUUGUUGAUAUGGGGGAUACCUUGGAGAGCCAUUUCCAGCAGCAUGUCAUUCUCAAUCUUUGCCACGAAAACAUCAUCUUCAGCUGAUUCAUCAUUCAGUCCUCCUAUUGGAGCUUCAUUAUUCAUGAUACGAGUACGAAGGACAGGUAUACUGAGGAUUCAAUCCCAGGAGUUGGCAGUCCUCAUCAGUUAUUCUUGCCAGAACUUCAAGUACCUGAAAUAUGGUUAACAAAGUUAGCAUCAUGAAACAAGCAGGUGAAAAUGAAACCACGAAUGUGUUGCCUUCAGAAUAAGUUACCCUUUCUGCAGUAAGUGUCUGCUUUCUUUCAACAGGUUCAGGAAGUUGUCCCUGAUCAUCAUUAUAUUUUCUUUGAGCCUUGUACUCUGCAAUCAUAUUCAUGCCGUCAAUUGUCAGCGUUGGUUGCAGAGCACCACAGCCACUCUUUCUCUUUCUAAGAGGUUCUUCACCAUCAUGACCAAGGAGACUGAGGACAUCAAUCUCAUCAUCGCCUUCACAUUUGUUUUUGGUUUUACAUGCACACAAAAUCUGUUCAAGCCUGCUCUUGGGGUUCCUUAUUUUCAAAGCUAGCUUAAACUUGUCAUCUUCCUGCUUGAAAAAUAAGCAAUAACGCAUGAAGCAGACAAUAAUCUACUAGAAAUUUUAAGGAUGGACGAACAAUCAAACUAUAAAAGAAACAACUUCAUCUCAUCUACCCUAUUGGAAACCAAAUAGAACAAGAAAGGGAGGAUAAAAAAAAAACAGUUCAGAUAACCAAGUAACAUGGAAAGCCUACUUCAAAAUGCAUAUAAAAAACCUACAAGGCAUCUAUCAUGAAAGCAGAAUUCGUAUCCAAAUCCUAUUUCUCAAUGGGAAAAUGGAGAUAAACAAAAUUGACUACAUCUAUACUUUAUAAAAUACAUGACAUUAACAAUACAUGCACGAAUAACCAAUGAUUCCCUGAUGCUAGUAAAGAAUACAAUUUACAACUUAUAGCCGUAUCAGGUUAGUACUCUUUCAAAAUUUCUUUUCAUUUUUUUUUCCUCCUUCAUCAGCAACCAACCAGACUACCAAUAAAUUACAAGAGAGAAACGCUAAGGCCAAAGGAAAAUUACAAUUUCGUCAGGGCUGAGAAUGCUGAACUGGACCAACCGGACCUUGGCGACCUCGCCUGGAGAGUACGUAAAGCUAUUUUCCAUGGCGAGCUCUCCAAGCUUUGAGUAGCAGCAGAGUGGCAAGCUUGAAGUGUCAGCUAGAAAUGCAGGGCAAAACAGCGUAAUAAGACCAAAUUACCCUUUGGAGUUGCUCGGCUGUCAAGACUGAACACUAAUCGGCCCAACUACCACAAUAACAACAGUAACUGACUAUUGUGCGUGUAUAUGUGGCAACGGCUGAGUUGCAAUAUCCGUAACUUACAGCCAGCCAAUAUGAAUUGUUAGAUUUGAGGGUCUGAAAUCGAAUGGACGGGAAAUAACAUACGAAACUUAUAAAUGGGUCAAACAAUGUUUCAGCAAUUAGUGGGCAUACCGGGAACAAUGGUUUGAAAUAUAAAAGCGAGUGAUCGGUUCUGAGUAAUAUGAUUGAAGGGCAAAAAAAUAAUUAAUUAAUUAAAAUAAUUGUGAAUCAAUCACUCACAAAUAGGGGUGGGAAAAAAUCGAUGGGUUCCGUUUGGUCUCAAAUCGGAUUGAACCAGAUGGUGGUCCUUUUUGUAACAGAGAAAAUAUAUUUAUGUGAUAUUUUUUUAUCUAAAAUUUAAAUAUAAUUAAAUUAAUUUGAAUUAUAAAUAGAUUUGAAUGUCUGAUUUUAAAUUAUAUAUUUAUUUUUUUAUUUGAAUCUCUUUUAAUAAAUAUUAGUUUGUUUAUUAUUUUAUAUCUUUAAAAAAAUAAAAAUCGAUAUUUUUUACAUUGCACCCUUUCUAAGUUUACAUGUUAAAAUCUAUAAGGAUGGGCAAUAUAAAUUGGAGAAUAAUAGAACACUUUCUAACCCUAAAGGUCUAGACCCAAAGUCAUACGACUCAUAUCUUAAAGUAAGAAUUAAAAUCCAAUUCAGUAACAAAAAAAAAUUCUAUAAAUACAGACUAUAUAAAUAGCUACAUAAAAAGCUUAAGAAUAAUAAUUAUGAUGAUAUGCAUGGAAAAUUCAAGAACUUAAUGAAUGAAAUAACUCAGCAAAAUGGAAAGGAAUGUGAGUAGGAAAAGAAAGAUGAGUUUUUAUUAAUUGGACAUACUUAUGUAGAUUCCGGGAAUAGAUAUGAAAAAUAAAAAUAAAGCAUGAAAAUUUUUUACAUUAAAAUUUAGUUGGCUUAUUCAGAAAAAAAAAAAAAAGGUAAAAGAACGACCUUAGACUUUAUUUCGUAAAGUUAAUAACAAUAAUAUGAUUUUUAAAUAAAAUGAAAUACAAGGACUUUAAAUUAUAAUGUAAAAAAUGGUUAUUUCCGUGUAAGCUCUCCCCUCACGCCCAACCCCCAAGCAAGCGCAAGAGCAGAAAGUUGAAAGAACUAUCCCCUAUCCAGGAAAACGGUGCGAAAUUGUUGCCUGUUAUAUUCUCAGUCAAAAAAGAAGAGGGGGGGUGGGGGGGACAAAAUGGCUCGGUUAAGAACACAACGUGCUUACCACAACCAGAAAUCUAACAAAUGUUUCCGAGAGUUUUCGUUUGCUUUUCCAUUAAUACCUUAUAAAAUGGACUCUAAAACAAAAUGAAUGAGAGAAUUGAGAGCUGCAAAAAAGUCAUGGGAAAUACACUGCAGACACCAAAAGAAAACCUAGCGAAAGAAGAAGAAGAAGAAGAAGAAAGCAGUGGAAGCAGCUUCACUUGUGAGAUUUGCAUAGAGCCAAUGGCAGCAAGCAAGAAAUUCAAGAACAAGAAUCUUUGCACACACCCUUUCAGUCAAGAUUGCAUAGCCAAAUACAUACAAGUGAAGGUCCAAGACGACAACACAGCCAAAAUCGAAUGCCCUGGAUUAGAGUGUAGGCAUGACUUAGACCCUUUUUCUUGCGAACCCAUCGUCCCAGCGAGUCUUUUUUCAAAAUGGUGUGAUGUUCUUUGCGAAGAUUAUGUUCUGGGGUUCGAGAGAAGCUACUGUCCCAACACAAACUGAAUAGAUUGUGCAAGUAUAUGUAUUAUAAGUGGGACCAAAACCUUGUAAAUAGCGGCCAGCACUCGUUAGGAUGGUUGGGCUGUAAAUUACUGAAUCUGUAACCUAACAUGCUCCUGGAUUUCUGUCAAUAAAUCAACGUCAACAAAUCUAACCAAUGAUAUUGGCGGACUGUAAAUUAUCCUUCUUUACCAGAGAUGUAUUAUUGACUCAUUUGAAAAUAUUGCAAACGAUUACUCGAUAUAUAUUAUUUCCGGAAGAAUCUGUAGUCCUUCAACAAAUUUUACGUAGGAUUUGAGAUUUUUUUUUUUUUUACUCACUUUUUUAUCGCCGGUGAGGAUAUAUUUUAUUUUAGAUGGAGAUGUCAACAUGAAUUAUUAAUUAAUGAUAGUAAUUUGAUUAUUUUUGAGAAAAUUUUAUGAUGUCGUAAUUAAAAUUAUAAUCUCAAUACUGUAGUUACCGUGUACCAUUAAACUAUAUCAGUCAACAAUAAUUAUAAUAUAAUAAAAUGAUUGAUUAAAUUGUACUUGCCUCAGCCACUUUUAGAUUCUUCUUUUGCGUAAUCACAAUAUAAGAUUCUUCUUUUGUGAUAAUUGAAUUAGGAAUGAGAUUACAAAAAUAUUUAUAUAUUACAAAUGGACGCACUUGUUAUGUGAUAAGAUUACAAAAAUCAUCAUUAGAUGAGAAAAUUUAGACAGAUAUUAUAAUAAUAUUCUUAAUUCAUAUAUCAAUUAUCUAAGUUCAAUUUCCAUUGAGAUGUAUGAUCUAACUAUAGAUCUGAUUAAUUUGGACAUGAAUGACCAGCAAUCUAAUCAUAUAAACAUGAACAACGUAAACAUUAUUAAGCUUUUGUUCAUCAAAGAUCUAAAAGGAAAAUUUUACAUAAAUUAAAAAAAAAAAACUUGGAAGGAUAUAUACAUGCUGGUUCGAAUCGGACAAGCAGAAAUUUUUCAAAAAACUUCAUUUAUUUAAACCCUUAACCUACUGGUCUUGAAUCCGAUAGGACCCAAUUCUUUUACAAAGAUUUAAUUGUGUUACGAAGUUCAUCCACAAAAAAAAAAUAAAAAAAAAUCAUAAACCCUUGAUCAAACUUGGACAUUCAAUGAACUGCGAAAAAAAAUGAUCAACAACACUGAACACAGAGCAUCAUCUCCCAAUCGAUUCAAAUUGAUAGAAAACAAAUUAACGAGAAAGAAAGUAUCAAAUACAAGGACAAUUUUUUGUAUGUUCACAUAUUGUAUAAGAACGUUUGAUAUUAAUGUCUUGUAAAUUUUAAAUUAUAUCUAAUAUAGAAAAAGAUGAUCGUAAUUAUUGGUGUAUGAAAUACAUAUAUAGUCUAUCAUGGCUCCGAAUAAACUUCCUGAAUAAUUUUAUUUUGUGAUAAUUUGAUUUUUUAAAUUAUAAAACAGCUCAAAAUUUUUUUUUAUUUUGUUUAUUAAAAUUUUGAUGCAGCCCUCUCAUAAUGCUCGAGCUCACACAAGUUAGAAAAAUGAUUUCGCAUAAUGUAGUGUAUUUUUAAUUAUUUAAUUUUAGAGUUUUUUCUUUUUUAAAAUUUUAAAGAGCUCAUUUAUUAAAUAUUACUGUCUAAAAAAUUAACCGCAACCGCGCAACCUUAUCAUGAUACUUCUUAUUAAUUACUUACUAUAAAAGCAACGCAAGUAUGGCAACUGUACUGUUAUGAUUAUUAGCUAAAAGCAAAUGAUUUUGAAUAUCUUUUAACAUUUUACCACAACCUUAUCAUAAUAUUUUUGAAUUAACUACAUACUUUAAAAAGGAGCAAAUAUAGGGUAACUAUGUUGUUAUAAUUACUUUUAGAAACGGUCACACGGUCAAGCUCGAGUGAGCUUGAAAAUGAUUUGGAAUAAUUUUUGAAAUAGUUCAAAAGAGUAAUUUUAUUACUGUUAUUAUUUUAUUGUAGUUAAUUAUCAAAAGAGUGCUUUAAAUAGCAUUCAAAAUAUAAUUUUUAUCUCAACCAUCUCAUAAUACUUUCAUUAACUACUUACUUCAUAAGCAACAAAUACAUAGUAACUAUGUUGUUACCAUUUCUGUUUUAAACCGCACAGACUAAAGCUCAAAUGCGUAUAAGCUUGAAAAGCAUUUUUCAGAAUAAAAA